GGACAGGUGGUGGCGAUGGUUGUCGUCAGCUCGUGUCGUGAGAUGUUGGGUUAAGUCCCGCAACGAGCGCAACCCCUAUUGUUAGUUGCCAUCAUUCAGUUGGGCACUCUAGCGAGACUGCCGGUAAUAAACCGGAGGAAGGUGGGGAUGACGUCAAAUCAUCAUGCCCCUUAUGACCUGGGCUACACACGUGCUACAAUGGUUGGUACAACGAGUUGCGAGUCGGUGACGGCGAGCUAAUCUCUUAAAGCCAAUCUCAGUUCGGAUUGUAGGCUGCAACUCGCCUACAUGAAGUCGGAAUCGCUAGUAAUCGCGGAUCAGCACGCCGCGGUGAAUACGUUCCCGGGCCUU
rnacentral:rRNA from 1 species